GUUUGGUUUGUUGAGAGCUCACAUUCUCUUGCUGCUGCCACCACUUGCUCUUUGUGACUGUUAAGGUCCCCUGUCAUGCAGGGUGAAUGCUAGAACCAUGUGUUUCACUCUUCAUGGAGGACAAUGAGGUGACUGCCUGAUUUUAAGAUUUAUGAGUGCUGGGCUACAGACACUGAUGCUCUGCACUGGAAUGUUCCUUUCUUCCUGUGUCACUGUGCUGUGGAGAGUAGUGAACGCUCUUGCAAAGUAGGCUUACAUUUACUACAU